UGCGUAGGCGGCGCAGCAAGUCGGGUGUGAAAUCCCCCAGCUCAACUGGGGAAUUGCGCCCGAAACUGCUGUGCUAGAGGAAUAUAGAGGUGAGCGGAACUUAGGGUGGAGCGGUGAAAUGCGUUGAUAUCCUAAGGAACACCGGUGGCGAAAGCGGCUCACUGGUAUUCUCUGACGCUGAGGCACGAAAGCUAGGGAGCAACG
rnacentral:rRNA from 1 species